rnacentral:rRNA from 1 species
CAGUGCUGCAUGGCUGUCAUCAGCUCGUGUCGUGAGAUGUUCGGUUAAGUCCGCUAACGAGCGCAACCCUCGCCGUGUGUUACAAGUGUCACACGGUACUGCCCGGGUCCUUUAAAGCCGGAGGAAGGUGGGGAUGACGUCAAGUCAGCAUGGCCUUUAUGUCCUGGGCUACACACACGCUACAAUGGCCAACACAAUAGGUUGCUAAGCCGCGAGGUGGAGCCAAUCCUCAAAGUUGGUCUCAGUUCAGAUUGCAGGCUGCAACCCGCCUGCAUGAAGAUGGAGUUGCUAGUAACCGCAGGUCAGCUAUACUGCGGUGAAUACGUUCCCGGGGCUU